rnacentral:rRNA from 1 species
UACGGAGGGGGGCUAGCGUUGUUCGGAAUUACUGGGCGUAAAGCGCACGUAGGCGGCUUUGUAAGUUAGAGGUGAAAGCCCAGGGCUUAACCCUGGAAUUGCCUUUAAGACUGCAUCGCUAGAAUCGUGGAGAGGUAAGUGGAAUUCCCAGUGUAGAGGUGAAAUUCGUAGAUAUUGGGAAGAACACCGGUGGCGAAGGCGACCAACUGGACCGAUAUUGACGCUGAGGCACGAAAGCGUGGGUAGCAAACAGG